rnacentral:tRNA from 1 species
GCAGUGGUGGUUCAGUGGUAAAAUUCUUGCCUUCUAUGCAGGAGAACCCGGUUUGACUUCUGGCCAAUACA